GUCGGCAGGAAGAAAAGUUUUCAGCCAUCUUUCUUCGAGAUGCUUUCGAUUAAGACUGCCGCCUUUAGCUUUCUUGCUGUCACCCUCACGCUUAUCUAUCAAUUUGACGUAUCCAGUGCCAAGUUACAUUAUCACCAACAAACGGUUUGCAAUCCUUCUGUGCUCUGCUCCAAUCCGGAAAACCCUUUAGACGAUUGCGGACCAAACUGCAGGUGUGUUUACGGGAACAGUUUUGGUGCCGACGGGAGGAGGCUGAUGCAUUGUUCAGCCGAAUAAAAUUUUGUGGCGCAUGAAAACUGACUAAAACUUCCUAAUACAGCCCACAAAAAAAGAAA